rnacentral:rRNA from 1 species
GAUGAACGCUGGCGGCGUGCCUAAUACAUGCAAGUCGAGCGGUAACACUUCGGGUGACGAGCGGCGGACGGCUGAGUAACACGUAGGAACGUACCCCAAACUGAGGGAUAAGCACCGGAAACGGUGUCUAAUACCGCAUGUGGUCUUCGGAUUAAAGCUUCGGCGGUUUGGGAACGGCCUGCGCAUGAUUAGCUUGUUGGUGAGGUAAAAGCUCACCAAGGCGACGAUCAUUAGCUGGUCUGAGAGGAUGAUCUGCCAGACUGGGACUGAGACACGGCCCAGACUCCUACGGGAGGCAGCAGUAGGGAAUUUUCCACAAUGGGCGAAAGCCUGAUGGAGCAACGCCGCGUGCAGGAUGAAUGCCUUCGGGUUGUAAACUGCUUUUAUUGGUGACGAUUAUGACGGUAGCCAAUGAAUAAGGAUCGGCUAACUCCGUGCCAGCCGCCGCCGUAA